rnacentral:rRNA from 1 species
UACGUAGGUGGCAAGCGUUGUCCGGAUUUAUUGGGUUUAAAGGGCGCGUAGGUGGUCUAUUCAGUCCGGUCUGAAAUAUCCCGGCUUAACCGGGAGGGUGGCAUUGAUACUGAUGGACUUGAGUAGAGUCGAGGUAGGCGGAAUUGACGGUGUAGCGGUGAAAUGCUUAGAUAUCGUCAAGAACACCUAUUGCGAAGGCAGCUUACUAGGCUGAAACUGACACUGAUGCACGAAAGUGUGGGGAUCAAACAGG